UGGGGAAUAUUGCACAAUGGGCGCAAGCCUGAUGCAGCCAUGCCGCGUGUGUGAAGAAGGCCUUCGGGUUGUAAAGCACUUUCAGCGAGGAGGAAGGUGGUGAGCUUAAUACGCUCAUCAAUUGACGUUACUCGCAGAAGAAGCACCGGCUAACUCCGUGCCAGCAGCCGCGGUAAUACGGAGGGUGCAAGCGUUAAUCGGAAUUACUGGGCGUAAAGCGCACGCAGGCGGUUUGUUAAGUCAGAUGUGAAAUCCCCGGGCUCAACCUGGGAACUGCAUUUGAAACUGGCAAGCUAGAGUCUCGUAGAGGGGGGUAGAAUUCCAGGUGUAGCGGUGAAAUGCGUAGAGAUCUGGAGGAAUACCGGUGGCGAAGGCGGCCCCCUGGACGAAGACUGACGCUCAGGUGCGAAAGCGUGGGGCAGCAAACAGGAUUAGAUACCCUGGUAGUCCAGCGCUGUAAAACGAUGUCGAUUUGGAGGUUGUGCCCUUGAGGCGUGGCUCCCGGAGCUAACGCGUUAAAUCGACCGCCUGGGGAGUACGGCCGCAAGGUUAAAACUCAAAGGAAUUGACGGGGUC
rnacentral:rRNA from 1 species